rnacentral:SRP_RNA from 1 species
GCUGGGUGUGGUGGCGUGCACCUGUAAUCCCAGCUACUUGGGAGGCUGAGAUAGGAGAAUCGCUUGAACCCGGGAGACGGAGCUUGCAGUGAGCCGAGACUGUGCCGCUGCACUCCAGCCUGGGUGACAGAGUGAGACUCCAUCUCAA